GAAUGCUGACAUAAGUAACGAUAAAGCGGGUGAAAAGCCCGCUCGCCGGAAGACCAAGGGUUCCUGUCCAACGUUAAUCGGGGCAGGGUGAGUCGACCCCUAAGGCGAGGCCGAAAGGCGUAGUCGAUGGGAAACAGGUUAAUAUUCCUGUACUUGGUGUUACUGCGAAGGGGGGACGGAGAAGGCUAUGUUGGCCGGGCGACGGUUGUCCCGGUUUAAGCGUGUAGGCUGGUUUUCCAGGCAAAUCCGGAAAACCAAGGCUGAGGCGUGAUGACGAGGCACUACGGUGCUGAAGCGACAAAUGCCCUGCUUCCAGGAAAAGCCUCUAAGCAUCAGGUAACAUCAAAUCGUACCCCAAACCGACACAGGUGGUCAGGUAGAGAAUACCAAGGCGCUUGAGAGAACUCGGGUGAAGGAACUAGGCAAAAUGGUGCCGUAACUUCGGGAGAAGGCACGCUGAUAUGUAGGUGAAGCGACUUGCUCGUGGAGCUGAAAUCAGUCGAAGAUACCAGCUGGCUGCAACUGUUUAUUAAAAACACAGCACUGUGCAAACACGAAAGUGGACGUAUACGGUGUGACGCCUGCCCGGUGCCGGAAGGUUAAUUGAUGGGGUUAGCGGUAACGCGAAGCUCUUGAUCGAAGCCCCGGUAAACGGCGGCCGUAACUAUAACGGUCCUAAGGUAGCGAAAUUCCUUGUCGGGUAAGUUCCGACCUGCACGAAUGGCGUAAUGAUGGCCAGGCUGUCUCCACCCGAGACUCAGUGAAAUUGAACUCGCUGUGAAGAUGCAGUGUACCCGCGGCAAGACGGAAAGACCCCGUGAACCUUUACUAUAGCUUGACACUGAACAUUGAGCCUUGAUGUGUAGGAUAGGUGGGAGGCUUUGAAGUGUGGACGCCAGUCUGCAUGGAGCCGACCUUGAAAUACCACCCUUUAAUGUUUGAUGUUCUAACGUUGGCCCGUAAUCCGGGUUGCGGACAGUGUCUGGUGGGUAGUUUGACUGGGGCGGUCUCCUCCUAAAGAGUAACGGAGGAGCACGAAGGUUGGCUAAUCCUGGUCGGACAUCAGGAGGUUAGUGCAAUGGCAUAAGCCAGCUUGACUGCGAGCGUGACGGCGCGAGCAGGUGCGAAAGCAGGUCAUAGUGAUCCGGUGGUUCUGAAUGGAAGGGCCAUCGCUCAACGGAUAAAAGGUACUCCGGGGAUAACAGGCUGAUACCGCCCAAGAGUUCAUAUCGACGGCGGUGUUUGGCACCUCGAUGUCGGCUCAUCACAUCCUGGGGCUGAAGUAGGUCCCAAGGGUAUGGCUGUUCGCCAUUUAAAGUGGUACGCGAGCUGGGUUUAGAACGUCGUGAGACAGUUCGGUCCCUAUCUGCCGUGGGCGCUGGAGAACUGAGGGGGGCUGCUCCUAGUACGAGAGGACCGGAGUGGACGCAUCACUGGUGUUCGGGUUGUCAUGCCAAUGGCACUGCCCGGUAGCUAAAUGCGGAAGAGAUAAGUGCUGAAAGCAUCUAAGCACGAAACUUGCCCCGAGAUGAGUUCUCCCUGAGACUUAGAGUCUCCUGAAGGAACGUUGAAGACGACGACGUUGAUAGGCCGGGUGUGUAAGCGCAGCGAUGCGUUGAGCUAACCGGUACUAAUGAACCGUGAGGCUUAACCUUACAACGCCGAAG
rnacentral:rRNA from 1 species